rnacentral:rRNA from 1 species
GACGAACGCUGGCGGCGUGCUUAACACAUGCAAGUCGAACGGAAAGGCCCUGCUUUUGUGGGGUGCUCGAGUGGCGAACGGGUGAGUAACACGAGAGUAACCUGCCCUUGACUUUGGGAUAACUUCAGGAAACUGGGGCUAAUACCGGACAGGAGCUCCUGCUGCAUGGUGGGGGUUGGAAAGUUUCGGCGGUUGGGGAUGGACUCGCGGCUUAUCAGCUUGUUGGUGGGGUAGUGGCUUACCAAGGCUUUGACGGGUAGCCGGCCUGAGAGGGUGACCGGCCACAUUGGGACUGAGAUACGGCCCAGACUCCUACGGGAGGCAGCAGUGGGGAAUAUUGCACAAUGGGCGGAAGCCUGAUGCAGCGACGCCGCGUGCGGGAUGACGGCCUUCGGGUUGUAAACCGCUUUCGCCUGUGACGAAGCGUGAGUGACGGUAAUGGGUGAAGAAGCACCGGCUAACUACGUG